GACGAACCUUGCUAACGUUAUUCGGAAUUACUGGGCGUAAAGCGUGCGCAGGCGGCUUACUAAGACAGGUGUGAAAGCCCCGAGCUUAACUUGGGAAUGGCGCUUGUGACUGGUAGGCUGGAGUGUGGCAGAGGGAGGUGGAAUUCCACGUGUAGCAGUGAAAUGCGUAGAGAUGUGGAGGAACACCGAUGGCGAAGGCAGCCUCCUGGGCCAGCACUGACGCUCAUGCACGAAAGCGUGGGGAGCAAACAGG
rnacentral:rRNA from 1 species